CUCGUCAUUUUUUUCCCUAAUAAUUUCUUCCUGACGGCAAUUAAUAAAAAUUUGCAAUGAACCGUCUUUUUUAAUUUCUCCAUUAAUAUUCCACGCGCUUACUUUGGAGUUUUGUUUUGAUAAUAAAAUCGAAUCUUUUCCUUUCCCUUGUUCCAUCCUUUCUCUCUCUUCCCUUUUUUCUUCAUCCUCUUUUUAAACCUAAAUCUCCAAAAAUACGUUUGAAAUAGAAGAAUUUAAGCUUUUAUCAAUCAAUGCAAUUCCAUUGAAAAAAAAUAAAAUACCCAGAAAAAAAUGUAUAGCAAUUUCAAAGAACAAGCGAUUGAGUACGUGAAGCAAGCGGUACAAGAAGACAAUGCAGGGAACUACAGCAAAGCCUUCCCUUUAUACAUGAACGCACUAGAGUAUUUCAAGACCCAUUUGAAAUACGAGAAGAACCCCAAAAUCAGGGAAGCAAUUACCCAGAAAUUCACCGAGUAUUUACGCCGUGCCGAGGAGAUCCGUGCCGUUCUCGAUGAAGGUGGGCCUGGACCGGCUACUAAUGGAGAUGCUGCCGUUGCCACUCGCCCCAAAAGUAAGCCCAAGGAUGGUAGUGGUGGAGGAGAAGGCGGUGAUAGGGAGGAUCCGGAACAGGCUAAGUUGAGAGCUGGGCUUGAUUCCGCUAUUAUUAGGGAAAAGCCUAAUGUCAAGUGGAAUGAUGUGGCUGGGUUAGAAAGUGCUAAGCAGGCUUUGCAAGAAGCUGUUAUUUUGCCUGUCAAGUUUCCUCAGUUUUUUACUGGAAAGAGAAGGCCAUGGAGAGCUUUUCUUUUGUAUGGGCCACCAGGGACUGGGAAGUCAUACUUGGCCAAGGCUGUUGCAACUGAAGCAGACUCUACAUUUUUUAGUGUUUCGUCAUCAGAUCUUGUGUCAAAGUGGAUGGGGGAAAGUGAAAAGCUGGUUUCAAACCUUUUUCAGAUGGCUCGUGAUAGUGCUCCUUCUAUCAUAUUCAUUGAUGAAAUAGAUUCCUUGUGUGGUCAGCGCGGUGAGGGCAACGAGAGUGAAGCGUCUAGACGUAUAAAAACCGAACUUCUUGUGCAGAUGCAGGGUGUUGGACAUAAUGAUCAGAAAGUCCUAGUGCUUGCAGCAACAAAUACUCCUUAUGCACUUGAUCAGGCCAUCCGCCGGCGUUUUGAUAAGCGUAUUUACAUUCCUCUCCCAGAUUUGAAGGCUCGGCAACAUAUGUUCAAAGUGCAUUUAGGUGAUACACCUCACAACUUGACUGAAAGUGAUUUUGAAAACUUAGCUCACCGGACGGAGGGGUUUUCAGGGUCAGACAUAUCUGUUUGUGUUAAGGAUGUUCUUUUUGAACCAGUUCGUAAAACCCAAGAUGCUAUGUUUUUCUACAAGACACCUAAUGAUAUGUGGAUGCCAUGUGGAGCAAAGCAACCAGGUGCUUUCCAAAUUACUAUGCAGGAAUUGGCAGUUAAAGGACUUGCAGUUCAGAUCCUUCCACCUCCUAUUUCAAGAUCAGAUUUUGAUAAGGUUCUUGCAAGACAGAGGCCAACAGUGAGCAAAGCUGAUCUUGAGGUCCAUCAAAGAUUUACAAAUGAGUUUGGAGAGGAAGGUUGAUGGAUUUGAUAAAAUUGUCACAUUGAUCUACUCUAGUUGUGAGUGCAAUCACUGUGAUUUGUAUUUUAUUAAUAACUGCUGGAAGCGGGGAAGGUGACUUCUUUUUUCUUGGAUUUAGAUGGGAGAUACACAAUUGAAUUGCUGUUUUUUUUUUUACCGUGUAAAGAAGAUUACCAAGUAUCAUUUGGAGCAUUUGCUAGUGCUGCCAACCGUUAGGAGAAUGGUUGGAUGGGUUGUUUGGAGGGAAACGAAAGUAGGAAAAGUGCUUUUCUU